CUAACAAAUCCUAUGAAUCACAAAUACUAAAAAAUAUAGGUAGUAAUUAGGUCCCUUUACCACUUAAUAAAGCUACAGAUAAUGGCAAUCAAAGAUUAGUCUUAUUUUUUCUCGUAUUCUCUCCUAUAGGUUGACUGUUACAAAAUGCUUUUAGCCUUGUGUAUAGUUAUUAAUACUUAUAUAAUACAAUAUUUUGUUAACAAUUAUUAAACUAUUAUUGUAUAUAGGAACUUAGGUAAUCAGUAAUCACAGGUGCUCCUCUGUUUGAAUUGACGCAUGAAGAAGAGGAAGAAGAGAGGCGUGAGGCCAUUGAAGGCCAGGCGCAGGGACGGGAUCCUCCCGCGCACCGCCAGUCUUGAUUGUUCCUUUCAUUAGCCUAGAAAAGACAAAAUCAAAAGUUCAGUAUGAUAUUGUUCUAAAAAAUUACAGACACUAACAAAACUACACUGUAACAUAAAUAUUCAACAUCAGUUUUCCUAACACAUUAUUGGGGUAGCAAUGAAGUUAAAUUCUAUUCUAUUAUUUAGCCAAACAUUUAGGAAUAACCUUUUUCCAUAUGAGGAGCCCCUGCUCAAGAAGCCUCUCAUUGACUGCAGCCUGUCUGUUCAUUGCUUCAGCUAUUCAUUGUGAGGGCUGAAGCCGUGGCCCUCUCAUAACGCACUUGCUCCAUCUGCGACUCAAGCACAUCGGCUGCUGCUUGUGUUCAUCUCGUUCAUGAUUCUAAAACAAUUCAAACAGAAAUUGGAUACAUUGUAAAUUACAAUACCUUCUUGACUACAACCGGUUAUAUUUCCAAAAAAAUAGGUUAAUACAUUGAUACUUACAUGUCUCAGUCGUAUUUCUCUAAGUUAGUUAAACUUCCUUUCUUCUUAUUUUCCAAAAAAACUACGUUGAUACGAAAAUGAGCAAAGAAAAUCAAUGUUUUUAUGUAGAAAACAUGGCGGCUGUCAAAAGUGCCACAGGUUAUGAAUUUCUUCAACGUUGAAUUAAAAAGCCGUUUCUUGAUACUUGCUAUCGACACUAAUUCCAACAAAAUAUAUUGUAGGAACAAAAUUAUUUAAAACAAAUUAGUGGUAGUAUUUAUAAUUUUUGCAUGGCAAUUAAAAAAAUAUAGUUUCAUUCAUUUCACUCAAGCCAUCCCAAUACGAACUAGCGAUAUGAAAACGAGAUCAAAGUAUGUGUGUUAUGAAUCGCGUUUUUGAACAUUGCGGAUUUCAUCUCGUAACUCGUUCGUAUCGCUUUACAAAUAUUUCGGUUGAGAUGUGAAUCGCGCCCCAGGAGGGUGAUUCGUGUCACAAAAAACAACUUCGUUUUCAUCUCGUUUUCAGAUUUUUACGAACGAGCUAUGAAAUUGCGAUUCACAUGGCACUAAAAACAAGCUACAUAGUAAGAUCGUUUCGAGAUCGCAAAAUGAAUGAACGGAAUGGAGAAUGACGCGAUUCAUGUCAGUUUUGUUGAACUUUUUGAUAUCGCUUAUCUGUCAUAUUUUGACGUUUUAGCGAUUUUAAACUUUCGAAGAAAAGGGUGAAAUUGUUAGAUCGUUUUCAGAAAAUACUGCUAAAAGUGAAAUUGACCUUGUACGCAUCUCUCCAAGAUCUUCAAGCCAUUUUUCAGCCGGACAGCCGUCCCUACGAGAUACGUUUCCAUCUUUACCGAAUUCGUAAUUUUCCUUUAUAUUAAGCUUGUAUUAGUGAUAUUUAUUUGAUUGGUGUGGGUUUUGGCCUGAGGCCCUCGCAGAAUGAGGAAGAAUAUUUUAACCGAAAGCAUACACAUUCCCUCAGUGUGCAAAUUGUAAGUUAAUGAAUUAAACACAUUGUAAUGCA